UCUCAAACACAACCAAACACACUAGCAAGGAUGUUGAUAAAUUUGAAAAAGUUGAUAGGUGAUCAAAAUGAAUUUCAAGUUCAACCCAUAUUUUCAAUUUCAAUGGUGUGGCUAGUUUUGGCCUCAGCUUCAAUCAUGUCUCUCAUUAUAUGGAAAUGUGCACAUGGUGUUCAACAAAAAGAAGCCGACGCCGCUGAAGUCUACGGCGGAAGCAGUUGCGCCGCCGCCUGUGGUGCUGGUUGCGGUGCAUGAUUAUCGUAUUGCAUGUUUUCAUAACAUUGAAGGUUACAUUCUCAAAUUCAAAAGCUAUCAAAAUACAAUUGUGUAGUCCAAGGAUCAAGCUCCUAAUUUUGAGAUACAAAUGAACAUUACUAAUACACAAAAGGGAGUUCAACAGAGCUGGCUCACUAUUGAGCACACGUAAGCAAGGUGAAGCUUAGCUCGGUGCUGCAGAUGCACUUCGUGAGCUCGCGGGCUUGAAAUAAAUGCCUGCACAUGCAUUAGCACGAGCACGACUAACACACACGCUGCUGUUACCCAAUGGCAUUGCACCAUGUGGCAAUUAGGUUGUUUUUUAAAAUUUGAAAAUCGGGUUAUUGUGUAAUGCAAUGGCUCUUUUUUAAAUUCUCAGCGGAUACCUCUUUUUCAUCUAUAUAUAAUAUAUAUGUCCACAGUCCACAUUCCCACUCUAUUUUCUUUUUCUCUAAAGUCACUCUUAAUCCUCUCAAAAUUAUCUUUUUUUUCUCUAAAUUCACUCUUAAUCAUCUCAAAAUUCUCUCCAAGUUGUACAAUGGAUCCAAACAACACAACCUGCCCAAUCCAACUAGAAAAGUAUCUUAGAUAUAUUAAAGUGAAUCCUAAUAUUUUCAACUUCGAAGAUAAUUUUCUAACUCUUCCAAGCCCCGUAGUUGGAACACAAUCACUACGCAUUAUGUCUCAUAGGACCAAUAGAACAUAUAACUCAUAUGCUCUGACUUUGUGCGGGAUAAUAUGAAGUCCAUAAAUUAUGCUUCAUCUACAAGGCUACAACCAUGUCGAAUCAUAAUAGAAGAUCAGCUAUAGUAUAAGAUCGAAAUGAUAACGUCUAUCGAAGUGAGAACGUGUGAUCCUUCGAGAGCCUAGGAAGAAGGUGAGCAUACAAAUGGGCAACAAAGAGGCACCAAUGCACAGAAGCGAUCUAAGAAUACCUCCGAUCCAAUGUAAGAUCAGACGGGGUGAAUAAUAACUCAACUAGAGCACAUAGUCAUAUGGGUCACAAUACCAUUUUUUGCUUUAGAGAUGAACAAUAUGAGAGUAAGUAAAGGUAGAGCGAACGGAAAAGCCAAUAAGAAUGGAUUAUUGCACUGUCAUAUUUUUGAUUAAUCUAAAAAAUUCUAAAACACAUACUAGUAUUUAAAACAAUUAUGAAACUAUAGUAGUACUAGUAGUACACUAUAUUUAAAAAAAAAAAUUGGCUUAAAAAUGUAUCCAAAAUUAAAAAGAGAGUGACUGAGUGAGUGUCCAUUGGCGAAGCUUCAACAAUGGCUGCCUUCUUCUACUCAUCUCUCAAACCCUCCACCAUUCCUCUCCAUCACCUCCCCUUCUCCCCCCAACCACGAGCUGUCUCCACCGCCGCCACCUCUCCCGCCCAAAACCUCCGAAUAGUAUUCGCCGCCGGUGGCACAGGCGGCCACAUCUACCCCGCCAUCGCCAUAGCAGACCACCUCAAAACCCUCCACCCCAACGCCCAAUUCCUCUUCGUCGGAACCCCCACCGGAAUGGAGGCCACAGCCGUCCCCUCCGCCGGAUUCCCCUUCACCCCCGCCCCCGCCGUCCCUCUCCGCCGCCCCUUCCUCUCUCUCCACAAUCUCUUCCUCCUCCCCUUCAUCCUCGCCAGCUCAAUCCUGCACAAUCUCAGAAUCCUCCAACAAUUCGACCCCCACAUCGUCAUCGGCACCGGAGGCUUCGUCUCCUUCCCCACUUGCCUCGCCGCCGCCCUCACAGGCGUCAAGCUCAUCAUACAAGAGCAGAACUCCGCCCUCGGAAUCGCAAAUUUGGUUCUUUCCUUGUUCGCUCACAAAAUCUGCGUGGCCUUCGAUUCCAGCGUCGACUGUUUUUUCAGGAGGGAUAAGUGCGUUGUCUGUGGGAAUCCAGUGAGGUUGUCGUUGAUGAAUGGGGCGUCGAAGGAGGCGGGAAGAAAGCGUUUCUUCCCGGGAGCGGAGGUGGAGAAGGUGGUGGUUGUUCUUGGAGGGUCAUUAGGUGCUUAUGCGAUCAACGUUGCUAUGGUCAAUGUGUAUUGCCAGUUGUUGUCUGAGAAUGAUGGACUCUUUGUUAUAUGGCAGACGGGGAUGGACGCCUUCCCGGAGAUGGAGAGCCUUGUGAAGAGUCAUCCUGGGCUACUUCUUUCUCCAUUCUUGAAUGAUGUGGAUUUGGCGUACGCUGCUGCAGACCUUGUUGUUUCGAGGGCUGGGGCAAUGACCUGCUCUGAGAUCCUAGCGACUGGGAAGCCUUCUAUCUUGAUACCGUCACCACAUGCUGCCGAGGGACACCAGUUAAAAAAUGCUCAACUCAUGGCCAACGUAGCUGGUUCGAGGGUUAUAACGGAAGAUGAACUCGACUCAGCAACCCUUAGAAAUGCAAUCCAAGGAAUUAUCGAUAACGAUAGUUUGAUGGAAGAGAUGUCUGAGAGGGCUUUGAAAGCUGCCAAAACAAAGGCCUCUGCUGAGAUAGCCGAACUUAUCAUCUCCCUAACCUCUGAAGUAACUUGAGUUCUUGAAGGACUACUGAAAAUAUAUUCACCUGUUUUCAGUAAACAGCAGGAUUUCCUCUCUGAUCAUUGUCAUUUGCUUCCCUUCUUGAUGAACUUGUGUAGCAUCAAGUGACAUGUCACACCAUUUCUUGAAGAGAGAGCACGAAUGCGGAUCACCUAUACUUGAAUCUGGGAAACACUGGCCUCUGAUUCACUUUUUUGACAGUUCUGUGGCACGAAACUGCAGUGAAACAUCCUUCUUGCAAUCAUCCAGUAGCUUCUUCUUUUGUCGAAGAGUUGUCGGGAAGAAUCUGGGAAACUAAGGAUGUGCUUGUAUCCGGGUUCAGGGAAGUGGUUGAAAGCCUCCGGCCAUUGUACAAAGACACAUUGAAGGGUUUCAGUUUCUUUAUGAGGUAUAUGCUAUCAGACAACUCAGUAGGAAAAGUGUGCGGGGAGACGCGUUCUGUGUCAUACAAACGGGCAUGUUGGAAGGCAGACAACGCUUGUUUGAAAGGUGUCAUCUUCAGCAAGAACAGAACCUGCAAAAUAUUGGAACAUGGAAAUCAUUCCUUUAGAUUUAUCAAUUUUAUCCCAAUUUUAUAAAUUGUACUAAUAAUUUUUAGAUAAUUAUAAUUAUAAAAAUAAAAAUAAUUUCAAGGGAAUAUGU